rnacentral:rRNA from 1 species
UUGCACGCUGGCGGCAUGCCUUACACAUGCAGGUCGAACGGUAACAGGUCUUCGGAUGCUGACGAGUGGCGACCGGGUGAGUAAUACAUCGGAACGUGCCCGAUCGUGGGGGAUAACGGAGCGAAAGCUUUGCUAAUACCGCAUACGAUCUACGGAUGAAAGCAGGGGACCGCAAGGCCUUGCGCGGACGGAGCGGCCGAUGGCAGAUUAGGUAGUUGGUGGGAUAAAAGCUUACCAAGCCGACGAUCUGUAGCUGGUCUGAGAGGACGACCAGCCACACUGGGACUGAGACACGGCCCAGACUCCUACGGGAGGCAGCAGUGGGGAAUUUUGGACAAUGGGCGAAAGCCUGAUCCAGCCAUGCCGCGUGCAGGAUGAAGGCCUUCGGGUUGUAAACUGCUUUUGUACGGAACGAAAAGACUCUUUCUAAUAAAGAGGGUCCAUGACGGUACCGUAAGAAUAAGCACCGGCUAACUACGUG